UAGUGUAGGGCACUUUUGCACAUGGCUUCUCUCAACCUGUUAUGAAUUUUCUUCUGUCUAGUUUUAAAUUUCAGGACAUUUUCCAGAUCUUGCUCCAGGUAUGUUCUUGUUCUUCCUGUGUAGCCACUUGUUUUCGUAAUGAUUCUUCAUCUUUUAUAUGCUAUAUUCGCAGGUUAAUUGCAUUAAAAGUAAUUUGACGUUGUUUUUGUUUCCAUUUGGGUUGAAGGUUAAGAUUUCUGUUGUUUCUGGACAUUUUAUUUAUUUUACACUUUUUAUCUUUGAUAGCUGCCAUGCAAAGAAAGCCCAAAUCAUAUUCUUCUUCUUUAAUGGAUCAGAUUCCUAUCAAAUUCCUUAUUCGACAGGCUCAAGGGCUGCAGCAGGAGUUGGGAGGGUUGCAUUCAGCUUUACUACGUCUCCUUGCUACUAACUACCCACAUUUAUGUAUUGUGGAUGACUGGAUUUGUGAAGAAGAAAUCACAGGGACUGAUGCCCUGCUACGGCGAAUGCUCCUGACUAAUAAUGCUAAAAAUCAUUCUCCCAAACAACUCCAAGAAGCAUUUUCAGCUGUCCCAGUAAAUCACACACAAGUGAUGCAGAUUAUAGAACACUUGACUCUACUCUCUGCCAGUGAACUUAUACCAUAUGCAGAAGUGUUAACAUCCA
rnacentral:sRNA from 1 species